CAAUAGCGUAUAUUAAAGUUGUUGCAGUUAAAAAGCUCGUAGUUGGAUUUCUGGUGGGAGCGAUCGGUCUGGCGCUUAGCGCGAGUACUUGCAUCGUCUCCGGCCAUCCUUGGGGAGAGUCUGUCUGGCAUUAGGUUGUCGGGCAGAGGAUCCUCAUCGUUUACUGUGAAAAAAUUAGAGUGUUCAAAGCAGGCUUAUGCCGUUGAAUAUAUUAGCAUGGAAUAAUAAGAUAGGACUUUGGUACUAUUUUGUUGGUUUGCGCACCAAAGUAAUGAUUAAUAGGGACAGUUGGGGGUAUUCGUAUUCCGUCGUCAGAGGUGAAAUUCUUGGAUUUACGGAAGACGAACUACUGCGAAAGCAUUUACCAAGGAUGUUUUCAUUA
rnacentral:rRNA from 1 species